UAGCUAGUUGACGUUAGAAGAGAUUGGGUCUUCGUAGUGUGUCAAUAGGCU
rnacentral:tRNA from 1 species